rfam:Toxocara canis scaffold720, whole genome shotgun sequence.
GCGACAGUAGCUCGGUGGUAGAGCCCCCGCUUCGCAUGCGGGGAGAAUCGGGUUCGAUUCCCGGCUGAUUCC